AAGCGUCGGUAAGGUGAUAUGAACCGUUAUAACCGGCGAUUUCCGAAUGGGGAAACCCAGUGUGAUUCGUCACACUAUCAUUAACUGAAUCCAUAGGUUAAUGAGGCGAACCGGGGGAACUGAAACAUCUAAGUACCCCGAGGAAAAGAAAUCAACCGAGAUUCCCCCAGUAGCGGCGAGCGAACGGGGAGGAGCCCAGAGCCUGAAUCAGUGUGUGUGUUAGUGGAAGCGUCUGGAAAGGCGCGCGAUACAGGGUGACAGCCCCGUACACAAAAAUGCACAUGCUGUGAGCUCGAUGAGUAGGGCGGGACACGUGGUAUCCUGUCUGAAUAUGGGGGGACCAUCCUCC
rnacentral:rRNA from 1 species